rnacentral:rRNA from 1 species
AUUGAACGCUGGCGGCAGGCCUAACACAUGCAAGUCGAGCGAGGGGCGGACGGGUGAGAAAUGCCUGGGAAUAGCCCAGGAGAGGGGGAGAACAGUUGGAAACGAAUGCUAAUACCGCAUACGAUUGGAUUGCCCAGGUGGGAUUAGCUAGGUGGUGAUGUAAUGGCUCACCAAGGCGACGAUCCCUAGCUGGUCUGAGAGGAUGAUCAGUCACACUGGAACUGAGACACUGUCCAUGCUCCUACGGGCGGCAGCAGUGGGUAAUAUUGCACAAUGGGGGAAACCCUGAUGCAGCCAUGCCGCGUGUGUGAAGAAGGUCUUCGGGUUGUAAAGCACUUUCAGCGAGGAGGCGUUACUCACAGAAUAAGCACCGGCUAACUCCGUGCCAGCAGCCGCGGUAAUUC